AAAAACUGCCUUGGCCAAUGAGCACGAGCAGGAUAUAUACUUCCAAGGCAUUCCAGAGGCAGUUUCAGAGACUGAACAAAGAGGUGGCUGUGCAUGCUAAGGCGGAUAUAGUAAUUCCAUCGAGUGCCAUACUUGAUCCAUGUUGUUGCGUAUUAUUUCUGCAACCGUAUCAUAACUCUCCGGCCAUAGCCAUUCUUUUGUACCCACUAUUAUAUACUACUAUUUGAUUUCUUCAGUGUUGUUUUGGGAAGAGAAGCAUCUUUUGUUACAUUUCAGUUACUGGAAGGUAGAGAAACUCAGAAGGAUUUCACUUAGUAUUGCAGUUGGCUUUGACAGAGAUUAUAACUGUGCAUCUUUUUUUAUUUUCUCCAUUGGGUGGUUGGUUUUAUUGUAUAAUCUGA
rnacentral:misc_RNA from 1 species